ACUAAAGCUACAGCCCUUCCUGGGAUCCUCGCGAUGGAGCUGAUGUGCCUGUUUGCAAGCUUACCUGUUUUGUUCAGCCAGCGCGGCGUGUCGCAGGCUCAUUUGAAUGUGAAGUUCAGCCACGGAGCAACCCUGAAGCAGCCUCGAGUCAUCUUGGAAGACUCCAGCCCGGAGCUGUGUGGGGACCGCUCCUCCUCAAGGGCAGUGGCCAAUUCCAGACAAAGAAAUUCAACAAACCCAACACACGCUCAAGUGUUUUAGCUCAGCGAUCUUUCCUCGGCCGACAGAGAGCACGAAAGAGCGUGGAGCCAAGUUUCCCGUGUCCGGGUCUUUGUUGCGGUUUUCUCGCCGACGCCCUGCAUCCUGGCGGUAGACGGUUUACCUGAGCCAUGAGCGACAUAGCACAUUUAUGGUUAUUGUAUUUUACAGGUUGAUAGAUUUUUAUAUUCUGUCCAAGUCAGGAUCUUACGCCACCU
rnacentral:lncRNA from 1 species